GACGAACGCUGGCGGCGUGCUUAACACAUGCAAGUCGAACGGUGAAGCGCCUUCCUUUUUGGUGGGUGUGGAUGAGUGGCGAACGGGUGAGUAACACGUGAGUAACCUGCCCCCUUCUUCUGGAUAACCGCAUGAAAGUGUGGCUAAUACGGGAUAUUCUGGGUCUGUCGCAUGAUGGGUCUGGGAAAGAUAUUGUUUCGGUGGGGGAUGGGCUCGCGGCCUAUCAGCUUGUUGGUGGGGUGAUGGCCUACCAAGGCGGUGACGGGUAGCCGGCCUGAGGGGGUGGACGGUCACACUGGGACUGAGACACGGCCCAGACUCCUACGGGAGGCAGCAGUGGGGAAUAUUGCACAAUGGGCGCAAGCCUGAUGCAGCGACGCCGCGUGAGGGAUGGAGGCCUUCGGGUUGUGAACCUCUUUCGCCAGUGAAGCAGGCCUGCCUCGUUUGUGGGUGGGUUGACGGUAGCUGGAUAAGAAGCGCCGGCUAACUACGU
rnacentral:rRNA from 1 species